rnacentral:rRNA from 1 species
GACGAACGCUGGCGGCGUGCUUAACACAUGCAAGUCGAACGGAAAGGCCCUGCUUGCAGGGUACUCGAGUGGCGAACGGGUGAGUAACACGUGGGUGAUCUGCCCUGCACUUCGGGAUAAGCCUGGGAAACUGGGUCUAAUACCGGAUAGGAGCCAUUUUUAGUGUGAUGGUUGGAAAGUUUUUUCGGUGUAGGAUGAGCUCGCGGCCUAUCAGCUUGUUGGUGGGGUAAUGGCCUACCAAGGCGGCGACGGGUAGCCGGCCUGAGGGGGUGGACGGCCACAUUGGGACUGAGAGACGGCCCAGACUCCGACGGGAGGCAGCAGGGGGGAAUAUUGCACAAUGGGCGCAAGCCUGAUGCAGCGACGCCGCGUGGGGGAUGACGGCCUUCGGGUUGAAAACUCCUUUCGCUAGGGACGAAGCUUUUUGUGACGGUACCUAGAUAAGAAGCACCGGCUAACUACGUG